UUUGGGGUUUUCUUUGCUGCGGAAAAGACAGAAGAUGCUGGUUUUAGAUCAAGCAUUUUGUCCACAGCUGCAGUGAAACAGUAUAAGACGCGCGAGGCACAUCCGGUUAUACUGAUGCUCAGCUUUAGCAUUGUUGUACUGCUGCACACUUAUUAUCAGCCAUGCUAGUGUGUUAGUGUGACGACUGCUCCCGUCUGAUUCUGGGGCCUUUGUUCACGUCGUCCCCCAUCAUUCACGUCAUCCCGUUACUUCUGUAAAUCCUCAGCACCGGCACCAAAUGCAGCCGCCUGUUAAGACGCGUGGCAUUCGUUGUGUGGGGUUUGCUUGGACUAAAUGACGGAUCUUGGAUGUGGGACUGACCUACAUACGGAGCAGAAGAGGAUGAACCUCCGUCCUCCUUCACGUGUUCGCUCCCAGCGGCACUAAAGCCAGUGUGGCCUCUUUAAGGCCCCGCUGCCCCAACCUUAUUUAACUCCUUCCUGUCAGACCAGAGACAACAGCCCCGUCCGUGAUCGAUGAGCAGCGUCUGAUGCGGUCCCCAACACUGAGACAAACAAAGCCCGGCGGCUCGGCUCAGCUCGCUCUCUGUGCUACGCCAAUACAGCCUGCAGCCACAAUGUGAGCUACAGCCAAGGUGAAAAUGGGAGGAAGAGACGGGAGAGGUGAGGAGGAAAAGCCCCUGAGAACACAUCAAGAUCCCAUCAUUCCUGCAUGCAUCUCCCCGUACCCCUCCCCCCCGUCCCCUACACCCCUCCCGCGUCCACUGCUAUAGGGAGGAUGGAUUUACCUUCUGUCCAGGAUUUCAGGCACUUCGUCAUAGAUGAGUCCCGGCUGCAGCUCUUCCUCAGUGAAGGAGAGGCCGGGCCGGCUGAGAGCGGAGACCAAGGCGAGGGAGCAGAGGAGGAAUGCGUGUGCAGCCAUUGAGACAAUGAGAGGAGACUGCCGCCGCUUGAGCGCCGCUUCAUAAUCUGCUCUCCUAGCAGUGCCCGACUCCCCGCUCCCCCGACUGGCAGCGGCCGCGGCCAAUGGGAGGCGAGCAGAGCCGCUCGGCGUGCGUCACAGCCCCCUCCCUGCACCUUCCCCUCCUCCCCCGCCUCCCCCCGCUCCCAUCCUACUCUCUCCGCUGUCAUCCUCCCUCUGCCUUUUUCGCCACUCCGCUCACCCUCCCACGUCCACCCCUGUGCUCUCUCUACCUUCUCUUCCUCUCCUCCGCGCGCUCGUAGCCACAGGCGAGCCCUAAGUAUAGACAACAGCUCAUUGGUUUUCAUAACACAUCUCAUCAUACCUAUGGUACCUACGCUCAUCCACAUGUGGACACGCUGCACUGUCACCAGCCCCUGUAGACAAUCACCUGGGAAUGUCAAGGUCAGAUUGUCUGAGGGGAUCUGGGGAUGUUUACAUGGCUUUACACGGCCACAGAACGCAACACGGAGCCCACGGAGCCGCGGCUACGUGACCUAGAUCUCCAGCAUGCUGCCACAAUAGCAGAAUUAAUUCACUUGAUCUAUGUGUUGUUGUGAGCACAGAGAAGGCCCGCGGCUGAGGAAAUUGUCCACUGAGGCUGCAAAUAUGGAUGACAGGAGCAGCUGAGCAUCCGUGGGAUGAGACGGGAACGAGGGUCCGGCCCCGACGACCCUGCCGGCUGAUCCCCACCCACUCAUUAUUGAGCCCCCCCCAUGCGUGAGGCCACACAGGGACCUGAUACACCCUCUCAUGUCUGUUACUUCCAUAUCCAACAAUGUGACGCUGUUUCAGAGCCGAACAUUAAGAGUCGCUUACGUAACCAAGUGUUGUGACCUACUAUCGCGGCUGAUUUUCACAUUGAUGCACGGCAGUGAUUCACACUGAAGGACCGACUGCAGAGCAACGCUUUAAACAACAAACUCCUGCCGCUAGAUCCGCCUCGCUCUGCACAGUUCAAACCCGCUCUGACAACGUUUUAUACAAACGCAUGAUAACUGUUUGUCAUCUGUUACCGUGGGUACGGACCUUGAUUCUACACACUGUUAAACAUGUGCUGUAUCGUCAUCAGAACAAGCAUUGGUUUGUAAUGUUUGCAUCGAAGGUGAUGCAGGUAGUGCGUGUGUGUGUGUGUGUGUGUGUGUGUGUGUGUGUGUGUGUGUGUGUGUGUGUGUGUGUGUGUGUGUCCUGGGUCAUACAGUAACAGGAGGUGACUGAAGGCUGCCUCAGCCCUCUGUCUGCCUGCCACCGUGUCCUCAGCGGGCCGUUGUGUCCUCCCACCGCCGGGAAAGCGCAGACUGGACCGUCGGCGCUGGCGUGACAGCGUGACGGCGUCGCAGAGCGUCCGGAGUCCGAUGAGCAGGUGUGACCACCUUAAAGGAAGCAACGUCACCACUUCGGGCAGCUGGUGGAGACAGACGUCUGACUCGUACUUUGUUCUUGAAGCAAAAAAAUAAUGUCUCGCUGAGAUUGACUGGUGUGGAUUCGCCGCAGCAGCUGUGCUUUCAGCAGCAGUCGUGUUGGGGUUGUGAGGAUCAGAUUUAAGGUGGACUUUUUGACCUGGGUGAUGUAACGGGUUCAAGCUGUUUUGGAUCGUGUGUUGCCGCUAUAGGACUGCUAAUCUGGCGGCGAGCAUGAGCAUCUGAUCCCUGCAGCGUAGGAGCAACAAAUGCUACAGCCCGGCCUCAUUAAGAUGCCUCCACUGUCACUAGUGGGUCGCUUGAUGGAAACGUUUGGCUCCACCUUUAACUCACAAUGAACAGAAAAAACUGAAAACAUUGGUAUGUUUUUAUUAGUAUAGUAAUUUGUUGUGUGUUACAAUACUGUCUCUGUAGCCUUUUUACUGAUCUUGCUGUGUCCACACACACACACACACACACACACACACACACACACACAAACACACACACACACACACACAGUCUUUCAU